GCCAGGCCAGCCUGAGCCAAUCUGGUCUUGCUCUCCACACACCGCUGGGCCUAGGAGCCACUCAUUCACAGAAAGGUCCGCCAGAGAUAGAAACCAAGGAGGCAUACCACUACAUCGCUCCACUGUUCAUGAAACUUUUCUUAGUGCCAUACACAGUGCUCCCAGGUGGUGCUGGAAGCUGGAACCUGCAUUCUUGAGUACAGCAAAUUAUGUGCUCUACCAGGAUCCAUAAGAGAAGAUGAGGACACAGGGCAAACCAGUGCCAAGACCAGAGAGAAUGCCACUAGGUUCCAGAUGCUAACAUGAUGCCAACCAGACGACCCCACCAAUAUGUGCUUCCCCAGAACCCCACCUCACUAGGGAAAGAAAGAGGCUGGGAGUAUGGAUCGACCUGUUAACACCCAUGUUCAGCGGGGAAGCAAUUACAGAAGCCAGACCUCCCACCUUCUAAACCCCAUAAUAACCCUGGGCCCACACUCCCAGAGGGAUAAAGAAUAGUAAAGUUAUCAGGGGAGGGGACGGGAUAUGGAGUUCUGGUGGUGGGAACUGUGUGGAGUUGUACCCUUUAAAAAAUGUUUCUUUUAUAAAUAAAAAAAAUUUU